rnacentral:rRNA from 1 species
UUGGAGGGCAAGUCUGGUGCCAGCAGCCGCGGUAAUUCCAGCUCCAAUAGCGUAUAUUAAAGUUGUUGCAGUUAAAAAGCUCGUAGUUGAAUUUCGGGGUUAGUAGGUUGGUCAUGCCUCUGGUAUGUACUGGUCUCACUGAUUCCUCCUUCCUGAUGAGCCGUAAUGCCAUUAAUUUGGUGUUGCGGGGAAUUUGGACUGUUACUUUGAAAAAAUUAGAGUGUUUAAAGCAAGCUAACGCUUGAAUACAUUAGCAUGGAAUAAUGAAAUAGGACGUUCGAUCCUAUUUUGUUGGUUUCUAGGAUUGACGUAAUGAUUAAUAGGGAUAGUUGGGGGCAUUAGUAUUCAAUUGUCAGAGGUGAAAUUCUUGGAUUUAUUGAAGACUAACUACUGCGAAAGCAUUUGCCAAGGAUGUUUUCAUUAAUCAAGAACGAAAGUUAGGGGAUCGAAGACGAUCAGAUACCGUCGUAGUCUUAACCAUAAACUAUGCCGACUAGGGAUCGGAUGAUGUUAAUUUCUUAAUGACUCAUUCGGCGCCUUACGGGAAAC